UACGAAGGGGGCUAGCGUUGCUCGGAAUCACUGGGCGUAAAGGGUGCGUAGGCGGGUCUUUUAAGUCAGGGGUGAAAUCCUGGAGCUCAACUCCAGAACUGCCUUUGAUACUGAGGAUCUUGAGUUCGGGAGAGGUGAGUGGAACUGCGAGUGUAGAGGUGAAAUUCGUAGAUAUUCGCAAGACCACCAGUGGCGAAGGCGGCUCACUGGCCCGAUACUGACGCUGAGGCACGAAAGCGUGGGGAGCAAACAGGG
rnacentral:rRNA from 1 species